UACGUAGGGGGCAAGCGUUGUUCGGAAUCAUUGGGCGUAAAGCGCGCGUAGGCGGCCCGGUAAGUCCGUUGUGAAAGUCAAAGGCUCAACCUUUGAACGCCGAUGGAUACUGCCGGGCUAGAGUCCGGAAGAGGCGAGUGGAAUUCCUGGUGUAGCGGUGGAAUGCGCAGAUAUCAGGUGGAACACCAAUAGCGAAGGCAGCUCGCUGGGACGGUACUGACGCUGAGGCGCGAAAGCGUGGGGAGCGAACAGG
rnacentral:rRNA from 1 species